rnacentral:rRNA from 1 species
GACGAACCGUGCGAACGUUGUUCGGAAUCACUGGGCUUAAAGGGCGCGUAGGCGGGUCUCAAAGUCAGGGGUGAAAUCCUCCGGCCUAACCGGAGAAGCGCUUCUGAUACUGGGGACCUCGAGGGGUGCAGGGGCAUGUGGAACUUCCGGUGGAGCGGUGAAAUGCGUAGAUAUCGGAAGGAACGCCGGUGGCGAAAGCGACGUGCUGGACACCUUCUGACGCUGAGGCGCGAAAGCCAGGGGAGCAAACGGG